rnacentral:lncRNA from 1 species
CUGGCUUAUUCAUUUGGAAAGCCAGUGGGGCCAUGAGAAGAACCACAGCAGUUCACAGGUUCUCUGUGGAGAAAUGUCAUCUUGAGGUGUGUGGAGUGGCCAUACGGCACACGUUCUGGGAAUCCCAGUGGCAGAGUUUAUUGAUUGGGCAACUGAGGAGACCAGGAAGCUCCCUCAUUUAGUCAUUUGACCCACACCAAGUGCCUACUAGGGGCCUGGGCUUUGCUGUGGUUGUACAUCGAGUACUGUGUUGAACAAGAUAGAGGAGACCUCCAGUUCCAGAAAUCUCCUUUCUAGGCAAUUAAAAAUCAAGCAAAGCAAGUAAACAGAAGAGGUCUAAGAAGCUAUUAAAGUGAGUUACAUAAGAUCAAAGAUCUCUUAGAAGAGUGACAAAGACUUUCUAGAAACUGAAUGGGAAAUGGAAAGAACGUCUGUAUAAAUAGGGAGGGAUGGAGGGGUUGAAGGGAG